rnacentral:rRNA from 1 species
GACGAACGCUGGCGGCGUGCUUAACACAUGCAAGUCGAGCGGUAAGGCCCUUUCGGGGUACGCGAGCGGCGAACGGGUGAGUAACACGUGGGUGACCUGCCCUCAGCUCUGGGAUAAGCCUGGGAAACCGGGUCUAAUACUGGAUAUGACUCCAUGACGCAUGUUGUGGGGUGGAAAGCCUUGUGCGGCUGAGGAUGGGCCCGCGGCCUAUCAGCUUGUUGGUGGGGUGANGGCCUACCAAGGCGACGACGGGUAGCCGGCCUGAGAGGGCGACCGGCCACACUGGGACUGAGACACGGCCCAGACUCCUACGGGAGGCAGCAGUGGGGGAAUCUUGCGCAAUGGGCGAAAGCCUGACGCAGCGACGCCGCGUGAGGGAUGACGGCCU